UGCACCACCACACCUGGCUGGAAAGCUUCCUUUUAUUUCUGGAGGUUUUCAAAGUCACCAUUACCUUAAGGGCUCCCUUCUCUCUGCUUGCUACCCAGCUCCACAGGGAGCAAAAUGAAGUCACCACUGUGGACUGAGAGGCCGGUCACAGCAGCCAGGAAUGUGGACGUCACAGAUCUCUACUGAGCACGCCGUGCAAAGGCUUCCACGAUCCGAGUCAGUGGUUCUCACUAAGUCCACGCUGGUCCACGGUGACACUUGGCCCUCUGGUGUCUGCUUCAUGUUUCCCUGCCCUGCCUGUCAUCCUCUAUGUUCGUGAGAGCAGGGAGCCUGUGAAUGUUCUCCACCUCUUAUCACCAGCACCCAGGACUUUGUCCUGCGUCUCAUUGGUUGGGGGACACCAACGACCUGGCCCAUCUGUCAGUAAAGAAAAUCAGACUUGGAGAAUUAAGCAACUGGCCCCAAGUCCCACAAUGAAGAAGUCUUGGCGCUGGGCCUCCAGGUUGGAUGGUGACCCCAGGAAGCCCCUGGAGAUGGAGAGCCCUCUUCCAAGGCACACCUGUCACUUGUGGCCACCUGGGAGCCAUGGCGUGGCCCAGCAGUGGGGACAGUGGGGCAGGGUGGGGCAGCCGGGCCACGAGAGGACAGAGCACUCGGGAGGCCAAGAGUCUCUGGCAGCAGAGCAUAGAGCAGCAGCCGAGGGCGUGGGCCGUGGGCCAGAUGCCCCACAUGCCCCACAGUUCUGGCCCUGCACAGUGACCACAUGACCUUGGGCAAGUGAGUCUCUCUGAGCCUCAGUUUCUCAUGUGUAAAAUGGGGGCAACGGCUCAUGGGCUGUCAUGGGAGCGAACGGAAUACUUUCUGAGUACAUAGAGCAGCAGCUGGUGAUGAUGGGUGUGCAGUGCGGGAGGCUGAUAACGGUGCGGAGUGGGUAAAUAUUUACAGGCUGGCGUGCCCGGGCAUGAGACCGGCCACUCUGCCGUGCCAGUCACAGAGUGAGUGCGUGUGUGCACACAUAAGCUGGCAGGGCCCCUGUGAGCCAGGCGUCUGAAGUAGACUUUGGCGGGUCAAGGGCACCGUGAAAUGCCUGAUUUUGCUCUGCUUGUAAUUCUUAGGCGGGAACCAACGGGGGCCUUCUCUGUUGGUGUCCCCAGGGCCCUCCUGUGGGGCCUCCGCGGGCCAGAGGACAUCUGGGACAGCUUGGUCGGAGGCAGGCACCUCAGCGCUGGUACCGCUCGGGGUUGAUCAUUCCUGUUGGGGGUGAAACAGUUGAUCCCAAAAGAGCCAGAUGGAGACCCCGAAGCAGCGAGAGGAGAAGCCUCACACCUCACUUGAGGGGCGGUGUCAAACAGGAACCUCGCAGUAGUGAAGUCCAAGCCACUUGUGACCUCUCUGCAGUCAGAAGUGACAGGGAACAGAGACCAUCUGGAGAGGCUUCCUGGAGAGACCUGCCUGGGGACCAGAGGGACAACAGCGAGGACCCUGGAUUUGGGUCUGAUGCUUUUCCACAGUGAGAUCACGAAGGAGGUCAAGCAGGGGGUUUCUUAAAGAGGAAGAGAGUGCCAGCUUCUGUGAAAGUAUGUUUCCAAGAUCCAGCUGGAAGAAAGAUUAAAGAGACUGUGCUUGUCCUAGAACUCAGAGCCCAAGAGAGACAAGCCUGAGAACGAGGGAAAGACUGGCUCAGGAGCCAUCCGGAGUCACACAGAGAGGCAGCUGCCCUGCCCCCUUCGUCCCCUGUCCUCUGUUCUCCACUCCGUCACCUUCAUGUUUGGGAGGAGGACAAGGCAAGAUGUCCUUCCAGCAGGGAUGGGCAGCACUUCCGGCCCUGAACGCGCGGACAAGGACGGCACCGAGGUCCUAGCCAAGUCCGUCCAUGUGUGGUCGCUCUGACCUUGGGAGGCUGAGGAUCCUCCAGGGGGCACCGCGACAUCACCGAACCCCUCCUCAGAGUGUCCCACCCGCCAUGGGCUCAGGCAGCCAGGACUGUGCUUGCCCAGUGGUGUUUUCCAUCACUGAUUAGCUGGGAUUCUCGGGUGAGGAAGAACCGUGCCUCCUCCUGCACUUGUUGGUUCAUUUCUUUACUCAAAUAGUCAUUCGCUGAUUCGCGAGGAAGCUCGAACCUCUUGCAUACAGUGGCCUAGCACUUGUCAGAUAAACUCUUCACACCUUCGUAUAUACUCUGGCUCCUCCUCCUCUUCAUCCGUUACUAAGUACUAAGGAUGGAACACAGGGCCUUGCACAGAG